AAAGUUUUAUUUCUGGCUCAGGACGAACGCUGGCGGCGUGCCUAAUACAUGCAAGUCGAAUAGUUCUUUUUUUCCCCCGGAGCUUGCUCCACCGGAAAAAGAAGAGUGGCGAACGGGUGAGUAACACGUGGGUAACCUGCCCAUCAGAAGGGGAUAACACUUGGAAACAGGUGCUAAUACCGUAUAACAAUCAAAACCGCAUGGUUUUGAUUUGAAAGGCGCUUUCGGGUGUCGCUGAUGGAUGGACCCGCGGUGCAUUAGCUAGUUGGUGAGGUAACGGCUCACCAAGGCCACGAUGCAUAGCCGACCUGAGAGGGUGAUCGGCCACAUUGGGACUGAGACACGGCCCAAACUCCUACGGGAGGCAGCAGUAGGGAAUCUUCGGCAAUGGACGAAAGUCUGACCGAGCACCCCCGCGUGAGUGAAGAAGGUUUUCGGAUCGUAAAACUCUGUUGUUAGAGAAGAACAAGGAUGAGAGUAACUGUUCAUCCCUUGACGGUAUCUAACCAGAAAGCCACGGCUAACUACGUGCCAGCAGCCGCGGUAAUAAGUAGGUGGCAAGCGUUGUCCGGAUUUAUUGGGCGUAAAGCGAGCGCAGGCGGUUUCUUAAGUCUGAUGUGAAAGCCCCCGGCUCAWCCGGGGAGGGUCAUUGGAAACUGGGAGACUUGAGUGCAGAAGAGGAGAGUGGAAUUCCAUGUGUAGCGGUGAAAUGCGUAGAUAUAUGGAGGAACACCAGUGGCGAAGGCGGCUCUCUGGUCUGUAACUGACGCUGAGGCUCGAAAGCGUGGGGAGCAAACAGGAUUAGAUACCCUGGUAGUCCACGCCGUAAACGAUGAGUGCUAAGUGUUGGAGGGUUUCCGCCCUUCAGUGCUGCAGCUAACGCAUAAGCACCCGCCGGGCCCG
rnacentral:rRNA from 1 species